CUCCGUGGUUAAUACCCACGGACGAUGACAUUAGCUGCAGAAUAAGCACCGGCUAACUCUGUGCCAGCAGCCGCGGUAAUACAGAGGGUGCAAGCGUUAAUCGGAAUUACUGGGCGUAAAGCGAGCGUAGGUGGCUUGAUAAGUCAGAUGUGAAAGCCCCGGGCUUAACCUGGGAACGGCAUCUGAUACUGUUGAGCUAGAGUAGGUGAGAGGGAAGUAGAAUUUCAGGUGUAGCGGUGAAAUGCGUAGAGAUCUGAAGGAAUACCGAUGGCGAAGGCAGCUUCCUGGCAUCAUACUGACACUGAGGCUCGAAAGCGUGGGUAGCAAACAGGAUUAGAUACCCUGGUAGUCCACGCCGUAAACGAUGUC
rnacentral:rRNA from 1 species